AUUCGCUGAUGAUGUAGUGGUAAUCAUGACCGAACUCAAAUCGGUGUCGAGGGUUCGAAUCCCUGGCGAAUA